GGGCUGUUGUUAUUUCAUCGUUACGUAUGCUUUGUUUUGAUUCGAUCCCUUCUCUCUGUUCCCUUCUCUCUCUCUCUCUCUCUGCCUCUCUCUCUGUUCCUCUC